UGGGGAAUUUUGGACAAUGGGCGAAAGCCUGAUCCAGCAAUGCCGCGUGUGUGAAGAAGGCCUUCGGGUUGUAAAGCACUUUUGUCCGGAAAGAAAUCCUUGGCUCUAAUACAGUCGGGGGAUGACGGUACCGGAAGAAUAAGCACCGGCUAACUACGUGCCAGCAGCCGCGGUAAUACGUAGGGUGCAAGCGUUAAUCGGAAUUACUGGGCGUAAAGCGUGCGCAGGCGGUUUGCUAAGACCGAUGUGAAAUCCCCGGGCUCAACCUGGGAACUGCAUUGGUGACUGGCAGGCUAGAGUAUGGCAGAGGGGGGUAGAAUUCCACGUGUAGCAGUGAAAUGCGUAGAGAUGUGGAGGAAUACCGAUGGCGAAGGCAGCCCCCUGGGCCAAUACUGACGCUCAUGCACGAAAAGCGUGGGGGAGCAAACAGGAUUAGAUACCCUGGUAGUCCACGCCCUAAACGAUGUCAACUAGUUGUUGGGGAUUCAUUUCCUUAGUAACGUAGCUAACGCGUGAAGUUGACCGCCUGGGGAGUACGGUCGCAAGAUU
rnacentral:rRNA from 1 species